rnacentral:rRNA from 1 species
UACGAAGGGGGCUAGCGUUGCUCGGAAUCACUGGGCGUAAAGGGUGCGUAGGCGGGUCUUUUAAGUCAGGGGUGAAAUCCUGGAGCUCAACUCCAGAACUGCCUUUGAUACUGAGGAUCUUGAGUUCGGGAGAGGUGAGUGGAACUGCGAGUGUAGAGGUGAAAUUCGUAGAGUAUUCGGAAGAACACCAGUGGCGAAGGCGGCUCACUGGCCCGGUACUGACGCUGAGGUGCGAAAGCGUGGGGAGCAAACAGG